rnacentral:rRNA from 1 species
AAUCUUCCACAAUGGGCGAAAGCCUGAUGGAGCAACGCCGCGUGAGUGAAGAAGGAUUUCGGUUCGUAAAACUCUGUUGUUAGGGAAGAACAAGUACAGUAGUAACUGGCUGUACCUUGACGGUACCUUAUUAGAAAGCCACGGCUAACUACGUCCGAUCAGCGGCGGUAAUACGUUGUGGGCAAGCGUUGUCCGGAAUUAUUGGGCGUAAAGCGCGCGCAGGUGGUUUCUUAAGUCUGAUGUGAAAGCCCACGGCUCAACCGUGGAGGGUCAUUGGAAACUGGGAGACUUGAGUGCAGAAGAGGAGAGUGGAGUUCCAAGUGUAGCGGUGAAAUGCGUAGAGAUUUGGAGGAACACCAGUGGCGAAGGCGACUAUCUGGUCUGUAACUGACACUGAGGCGCGAAAGCGUGGGGAGCAAACAGG